rnacentral:rRNA from 1 species
CUACGGGCUGCAGCAGUGGGGAAUAUUGCACAAUGGGGGAAACCCUGAUGCAGCAACGCCGCGUGAGUGAUGAAGGUCUUCGGAUUGUAAAGCUCUGUCUUUUGGGACGAUAAUGACGGUACCAAAGGAGGAAGCCACGGCUAACUACGUGCCAGCAGCCGCGGUAAUACGUAGGUGGCAAGCGUUGUCCGGAUUUACUGGGCGUAAAGGAUGCGUAGGUGGAUACUUAAGUCAGAUGUGAAAUCCCCGAGCUUAACUUGGGGGCUGCAUUUGAAACUGGGUAUCUGGAGUGCAGGAGAGGAAAGCGGAAUUCCUAGUGUAGCGGUGAUAUGCGUAGAGAUUAGGAAGAACACCAGUGGCGAAGGCGGCUUUCUGGACUGUAACUGACACUGAGGCAUGAAAGCGUGGGGAGCAAACAGGAUUAGAUACCCUAGUAGUC